rnacentral:rRNA from 1 species
UACGGAGGGUGCAAGCGUUUAUCCGGAUUCACUGGGUUUAAAGGGUGCGUAGGUGGGCUGGUAAGUCAGUGGUGAAAUCUCCGGGCUUAACUCGGAAACUGCCAUUGAUACUAUCAGUCUUGAAUACCGUGGAGGUCAGUAGAAUAUGUCAUGUAGCGGUGAAAUGCUUAGAUAUGACAUAGAAUACCAAUUGCGAAGGCAGCUGGCUACACGAAUAUUGACACUCAGGCACGAAAGCGUGGGGAUCAAACAGG